UACGUAGGGUGCAAGCGUUAAUCGGAAUUACUGGGCGUAAAGCGUGCGCAGGCGGUUGUGCAAGACAGAUGUGAAAUCCCCGGGCUUAACCUGGGAACUGCAUUUGUGACUGCACGGCUAGAGUGUGUCAGAGGGGGGUAGAAUUCCACGUGUAGCAGUGAAAUGCGCAGAUAUCGGGAGGAACACCGGUGGCGAAGGCAGCCCCCUGGGUUAACACUGACGCUCAGGCACGAAAGCGUGGGGAGCAAACAGG
rnacentral:rRNA from 1 species